AUUAGUCACAGCCCUAGCUUUCGGCGGACCCCAUACCUGUGGUACGUUUGAAUCACUACACACCUAUGGAAUUUUCUUUCUAUGUUCGCAAUAUGCACUUGCAAACAUCGCGAGGAAACUGUCUCAAACCAAAAAGUCGAUGAUAAAGACAAAAGACAGAAGUAUACAGACGACUGAUCACCUACUUGUCUAGGAAAAUGAAAAUGAUCGAAGAAACGGAUGCAAUCUGAGGCCAAGCCCAAGUGCAAAAGACUAUAGCCAGUCGUGUAGUUCGUAUCUGAAGUCUCAAACUCGUAAUGCC